UUUAAAUACAGUAGUGAGUUUCUAUGUCUGACGUUUGACCAUUGUCUUAUUUAAAAUUUAUUUAUAAUUAGUAUUUUCAUUAUUAUUAGAUAAUAAAACAUAAAGAGUACUUUACUUAUUUAAUUUUUUAAUUAAAUCUUAAAUAAAACAUACGGUUAAAUAUUGUACACGAAAACAUUCGAUUACAAUUAAA
rfam:Oryza glaberrima chromosome 5 Oglab05_0115_15, whole genome shotgun sequence.